UCCUUGUUGCUAUUUGUGAUGGGUUCUGAGUUAACCUAUCGGCGUGGAGUACGUCUUCAAUUCGUGACAUCACUGUGAAGGCUAAGCUUUCCAGUAUUCUGGAGUAGCUCUCUAAAACGGCGUGCCCCACGUCCUGCAGUUCACCAAAGAUGGCAAGAUCAUCGUCUUUGCUGCUCAACUUUGGCUUUGGAGCCCUUUCAGAUCGAUUGGACGGUGCCAGCGGUGGCCCAGCUUGGUGUUUCUCAGAAGAGUUGUUGUGAACAGGUGUCGAUCCCUGGCUUCUCGACGUCGACAAAUCAUCUUCAUUGGCAGAGUCAAAUACAUUUGCACUCUCCACACUCAAGCUCUUGGCAUGUCUGCCUGUAUUCUCAUGCGUUCCUCUGAAAAGAAAGAAUCUGGACCUGAAACCUUCGUGCUCUUGCUCCAUAGCACGAACCAUUCUCAGUUUCUUGACGAAACGUUUGACUGAAAACACAAGAGACAACAAACCGGCAACUGGGUGGUGAUGUGGAUUUCAGACAGACAGCAUAGAGAGAAAAUGAAGAGAAUUGAGAAAAAGGAGGAAGAGAAGCAAGCAGGAUUUAGAGAAGAACUAGAAGAAAAAAAAAAGGUGGAUUAGGAUAUUCUUGUUUCGCUUCUCUUUACCUCCUUUGAACUAAAGAAUAAGGAAAGUUUUUGUUUUAUUUACUCUCUCUCUAGUUUUACUUUUUGGUUAUUGGAUUGAUCUUUCCUUUUCUCCUUCUAUUUUUGAGAAGGAGAUCGAUGCAAUGUGAGGUUCCUCUUAAGAAAAGGAUGAUUUGGUUAGACAAAGAAAGAAAGAAAGAAAGAAAUGUUUUGAACUUA